rnacentral:rRNA from 1 species
UCUUCUGGGGGAUUUUUCCCCAUUGGGGGAAACCCUGAGGAGGCACUCCGCCUGAGGGGAGAAACGCUUUUGGGUUUUAARCUUCUUUUCUCAAGGAAUAAGUUAUGAAGGUACCAAGGAAUCAGCAUCGGCUAAAUCCGUGCCAGCAGCCGCGGUAAUACGUGGAUGCAAGCGUUAUCCGGAAUGAUUGGGCGUAAAGCGUCCGCAGGUGGCACUGUAAGUCUGCUGUUAAAGAGUGAGGCUUAACCUCAUAAAAGCAGUGGAAACUACAGAGCUAGAGUGCGUUCGGGGCAGAAGGAAUUCCUGGUGUAGCGGUGAAAUGCGUAGAGAUCAGGAAGAACACCGGUGGUGAAGGUGUUCUGCCAGGGGCGCAAGUACCCCCAUUAUCAACUCCCC